rnacentral:rRNA from 1 species
CCGUCCUACGGGACGCAGCAUUUAUUCCUCUUUUUCACUUUUCUCGAGCCUGAACCAGCCAAGUAGCGUGAAGGAUGACUGCCCUACGGGUUGUAAACUUCUUUUAUAAAGGAAUAAAGUGAGGCACGUGUGCCUUUUUGUAUGUACUUUAUGAAUAAGGAUCGGCUAACUCCGUGCCAGCAGCCGCGGUAAUACGGAGGAUCCGAGCGUUAUCCGGAUUUAUUGGGUUUAAAGGGAGCGUAGAUGGGUUGUUAAGUCAGUUGUGAAAGUUUGCGGCUCAACCGUAAAAUUGCAAUUGAUACUGG